GCCAAAUAUGGUGGGGCGUACCUGUAGUCCCAGCUUCCAGGAGGCUAAGGCUGGGGGAUCAUUUGAAUCUGAGUGUUCUGAGCUUCUGUGAAACAAGCUAAUUGGGUGUCCAAAGUAAAUUUGGCAUUAAUAUAGUGAAACCCUUAGAGCCAGCCAUCACUAGUUUCUUGCCUAAGGAGAGGUGACCUGGGCUAGGUCAGAAAUGGAUCAUAUCAAAGUUCCUGUGGUGAUCAGAAUGGGAUUAUGUUUGUGAAUAUCACUUGCUCUUCUAGUCUCGAUGACUUAGGGAGACCUAGUCUGUU
ensembl:misc_RNA Metazoa_SRP Metazoan signal recognition particle RNA